rnacentral:piRNA from 1 species
UCUUGGGUGUUUUUGGAGGACUGGACUAC